AUUUAAAUAAUUUAAUUAAAAAUAUUGGUUUGUGGGAUCAAAAAUGUUAGAUUUUAACUUUAAAUU
rnacentral:tRNA from 1 species